rnacentral:rRNA from 1 species
UAGGGAAUCUUCCACAUGGACGAAAGUCUGAUGGAGCAACGCCGCGUGAGUGAAGAAGGUUUUCGGAUCGUAAAGCUCUGUUGUUGGUGAAGAAGGAUAGAGGCAGUAACUGGUCUUUAUUUGACGGUAAUCAACCAGAAAGUCACGGCUAACUACGUGCCAG